AUGGCAUGCAGAUGCUGCCUUUGGGACCUGCCUCUCCUACCCCUCCACCGUUUCUCCUGCUGGGACAACCCUGACACUCCCGAUUCCCAUCCCCUUUAAAUCACACUUCCACCUCUGCUGUGGCUGGAACGUGUGGACCAAAGGCGUGUUCUGGCCUAAGGAUAAUAUAAAAAGAGCUGAAUAUUGAGUAUCCUGGGGAGUCCUUUCCAGUCUCAGAGGCCAGCCCUGAGAGCAAUUCGCUUUCAGCAGUCAAGCUGUCUUCAGGUGGUAGGAGGAAGAAGGAAGAAAAAGAGGCAAAAUCAGAAUCUACUCCUUGAGGGGAGAGGCUGAAUUCCUGGGGAAUAACCCUUGCACUAACAGCUCCUGACCAGAAACAGACCUGGAAUCCAUUGGCCAUCAAGCAUUUGGCCUUUCCCUGAGGACUGGAAAAUGCCCCACGCCUCAAAAUCCUGCUAGUUUCUACCUGAGAGCAGACCCUGGGUCCCCUCCAAAAUGACAACAGGGUCUCCAUUUUGGAGAUGGUGACAUGCCCACCUGCAACAGAUAUCUGGAGUGGGAGGGUCCCUUGAGGUCAGGACCCUAUCUCUGUUGCUCUGUUGUUCAGACUCAAGGUUCUACAUGCCCAUGGCUUCAAGAGUCAGAACCUCUGGCAAACUCCAAAGGACAGCCCUUAGGGAAAAGGCACAGUGUGUCCUGUGGCUGGUGGGACACAAGGCCAGAUCAGGCUGAAGAAGUCCUAACCCACCUUUCAAAGUGGUAACAGAUAAACCACCCAAGGCUUUCGGGAGGUCUUAUAUACAUGGAGAACGUGUUGAGUGCACCUGGGAUCUCCCUGCACAAAGCAGCUUUCUACAAAUCUGGCACAUACGAGGCAGCCCAAAAUAAGCUAUGUCGCUUGUCUCUAUGGUACCUGCACGAAUGUCAGCUUUGGAUAUUGAGAUAUCUGCCCGGCUACAUGAUGAAUGAUACCUUUUGUUCUAAAACAACAAAAGUGGUUGGGCGUGGCAGCUCACGCCUGUAAUCCAACAGUUUGGGAGGCUGAGGCGGGUGGAUCACUUGACGUUAGGAGUUCGAG
rnacentral:lncRNA from 1 species